rnacentral:rRNA from 1 species
GUUGAAAGUCGUCACCUACAGAUCCGAGCGUGUAGCUACUUCUUGCGACGCUUGACGCUAUGCAUUACGCUUAACGUCCUAAGUCACUCAGUAGCUUUAAAACUUGCGUAUAACGUGAAGGCCCAAUCAGGACCCUCAUACGGACAUAGUCACAGGCAU